rnacentral:rRNA from 1 species
UACGGAGGGUGCGAGCGUUGUCCGGAAUCAUUGGGCGUAAAGGGCGCGUAGGUGGCCCGGUCAGUCUUUGGUGAAAGCGCGGGGCUCAACCCUGCGUCGGCCAGGGAUACUGCCGCGGCUCGAGCACUGUAGAGGCAGGCGGAGUUCCGGGUGUAGCGGUGGAAUGCGUAGAGAUCCGGAAGAACACCGGUGGCGAAGGCGGCCUGCUGGGCAGUUUAGCUGACACUGAGGCGCGACAGCGUGGGGAGCAAACAGG